rnacentral:lncRNA from 1 species
CGCGCCUCGUACACCAACACUGCAGGUACACGUAUACAUACAGGAAAACCAACUUUUUUUCAUUAUUCUGAUUUUUUAUGUAUCGUCUCAGUUGUUGUCACACGAAUGUUUACUCCAUAACCAUUUUGUUUUCUAUAUGUCAUAGUUUGCCGCAUUUGUUGCUUUCCCCACAUCCUUCCUUUUGUCUAUAUUAUUAUGAUAUUCUCCGGGAAAGAGCUCGUUUUGAAUAAAAGGGAUCAACAAACCCAUUACCUUACCUUUAAGAUAGAUCAGUAAACAUGGGCAUAAUUAUGGGUGAUUAUUCAGUCUAGUGCACACAUUUUACAGUUCAAACAAGGCAAUGCCGAGCGUGGCAUCCCCUCGUAUGUAACAUAUUGGGGACAAAUAUGGACACUGUAUUUGUAUAUGACACAUGCAGAAAAUGGUAAAUUGAAUAUGCAUAUUUGAUACAUAAACUAUUUUUUUUUAGAAAUCAACCAAAACAUUCAGUAACUGGAAAUACCUUUAAUAUUGUCUUUAGAACCAGCAGGUAAAAAAAUGAGCAACCAAUUUCCUGUGUAUUAUGCUAUUUCAAGCAGAAAAAAACAAGUCCAUCUGCAUGACCUUGACCUUUGGCCUUGAACGUAAAAAAUGUCAGAUCAUUACAAAGAGGAACAAUAUACCAAAUGUGGUUAUAAUCUUUUGAAGCAUAUUGGUUUUAGAGUGUCCACAAGGGUGAUAUUGCCUUGUAUUACAACUACCACUGUGACCUUGACCUUUAAACUUUAAAGUCAAUAGCGCUUAAGAUAUUUUUAACGAGUAACACCAUACCAAGUUUUGAGCAUUUUGGUUCUAGAGUGUCCAUAACAAUUUUAUCUACUUACAUGUUGUAGGCGAGGGGAUAAUAAACUAAGUUUUAUAAGAAUUAGACAAAAAGAUCGAUUUCCCGCCAUGCAUGGCAAACUUGUACAGAAACGAUAUGUUGUCGAAAUUCUGUUCGGAUCUUUUAGACAUAGUAUGGCCGUCGCGCCAUCAUCGUAAUCCAUCGU